rnacentral:rRNA from 1 species
UAGAUCAGUCGUACACGGUUUCCGUAGGUGAACCUGCGGAAGGAUCAUUCA